UACGUAGGUGGCAAGCGUUGUCCGGAUUUACUGGGCGUAAAGAGCGCGCAGGCGGCCUGAUCAGUCGAAUGUGAAAGCCCCCGGCUUAACUGGGGAGGGUCAUUCGAUACUGUCAGGCUCGAAGGCAGGAGAGGGAAGCGGAAUUCCCGGUGUAGUGGUGAAAUGCGUAGAUAUCGGGAGGAACACCAGUGGCGAAGGCGGCUUUCUGGCCUGUUCUUGACGCUGAGGCGCGAAAGCUAGGGGAGCAAACGGG
rnacentral:rRNA from 1 species